AGAGUUUGAUCCUGGCUCAGGAUGAACGCUGACAGAAUGCUUAACACAUGCAAGUCUACUUGAACUUCGGUUUGGGUGGCGGACGGGUGAGUAACGCGUAAAGAACUUGCCUCACAGAUAGGGACAACAUUUGGAAACGAAUGCUAAUACCUGAUAUUAUGAUUUUAGGGCAUCCUAAGAUUAUGAAAGCUAUAUGCGCUGUGAGAGAGCUUUGCGUCCCAUUAGCUAGUUGGAGAGGUAACGGCUCACCAAGGCGAUGAUGGGUAGCCGGCCUGAGAGGGUGAACGGCCACAAGGGGACUGAGACACGGCCCUUACUCCUACGGGAGGCAGCAGUGGGGAAUAUUGGACAAUGGACCAAAAGUCUGAUCCAGCAAUUCUGUGUGCACGAUGACGUUUUUCGGAAUGUAAAGUGCUUUCAGUUGGGAAGAAAAAAAUGACGGUACCAACAGAAGAAGUGACGGCUAAAUACGUGCCAGCAGCCGCGGUAAUACGUAUGUCACAAGCGUUAUCCGGAUUUAUUGGGCGUAAAGCGCGUCUAGGUGGUUAUGUAAGUCUGAUGUGAAAAUGCAGGGCUCAACUCUGUAUUGCGUUGGAAACUGUGUAACUAGAGUACUGGAGAGGUAAGCGGAACUACAAGUGUAGAGGUGAAAUUCGUAGAUAUUUGUAGGAAUGCCGAUGGGGAAGCCAGCUUACUGGACAGAUACUGACGCUAAAGCGCGAAAGCGUGGGUAGCAAACAGGAUUAGAUACCCUGGUAGUCCACGCCGUAAACGAUGAGUGCUAAGUGUUGGUCUCAUAAGAGAUCAGUGCUGCAGCUAACGCAUUAAGCACUCCGCCUGGGGAGUACGACCGCAAGGUUGAAACUCAAAGGAAUUGACGGGGGCCCGCACAAGCGGUGGAGCAUGUGGUUUAAUUCGAAGCAACGCGAAGAACCUUACCAAGUCUUGACAUACUGUGAGGACACAAGAGAUUGUGUUGUUCUGACCUUUGGUUAGACACAGAUACAGGUGGUGCAUGGUUGUCGUCAGCUCGUGUCGUGAGAUGUUGGGUUAAGUCCCGCAACGAGCGCAACCCCUAUUGUUAGUUGCCAUCAUUCAGUUGGGCACUCUAGCGAGACUGCCGGUAAUAAACCGGAGGAAGGUGGGGAUGACGUCAAAUCAUCAUGCCCCUUAUGACCUGGGCUACACACGUGCUACAAUGGCUGGUACAACGAGUCGCAAGCCGGUGACGGCAAGCUAAUCUCUUAAAGCCAGUCUCAGUUCGGAUUGUAGGCUGCAACUCGCCUACAUGAAGCCGGAAUCGCUAGUAAUCGCGGAUCAGCACGCCGCGGUGAAUACGUUCCCGGGUCUUGUACACACCGCCCGUCACACCACGAGAGUUUGUAACACCCGAAGUCGGUGAGGUAACCGUAAGGAGCCAGCCGCCUAAGGUGGGAUAGAUGAUUGGGGUGAAGUCGUAACAAGGUAGCCGUAUCGGAAGGUGCGGCUGGAUC
rnacentral:rRNA from 1 species